rnacentral:lncRNA from 1 species
CGCCUGGGGUCCUCCCAGAGCUCCUGGGCUCGAGCUCUUUCCAUGAGCACCUCGGGCCUUCUCGUGGCUACCUCUGUGCUUCCCUGAGACCUGAUUUGUGAGCCCUUUUUGCUGGUUUUCGCCAGAGGUUUUUUACCAAAUCAAAAUUUCAACCAUUGACUAACACAGGGGUUGAAGGAAGAGGACGGGGAAGUUCAGUGAUGGAUGGGAACAACAGUCUUAGAUGAUAGGGAUAAUUAAGAGGGCAUAGUUGGGGACUUGUGGUUAUUUUGCACAGCUCUCUACUCUCAGUCCAAUGUUUGGAAAUGAGGAUGCUCCACGUGCUACCCUAAAGAACCAUUUAUAGAGGAUAUUAACCAGAAGGUUACAUACUACAAUCUGGAAGGAAUAAUCUCAAUAUCAUGAGUGCCAAUUAAGU